AACGCGAAGAACCUUACCCAGGCUUGACAUGCAGAGGAAGCUAGGAGAAAUUUUAGCGCCCUUCGGGCUUCUGCACAGGUGCUGCAUGGCUGUCGUCAGCUCGUGCCGUGAGGUGUUUGGUUAAGUCCAGCAACGAGCGCAACCCUUAUCAUUAGUUGCCAACAUUUAAGGUGGGAACUCUAAUGAGACUGCCUGGGUUAACCAGGAGGAAGGUGAGGAUGACGUCAAGUCCGCAUGGCCCUUAUGUCUGGGGCUACACACGUGCUACAAUGGUCGGUACAGAAGGCAGCGAAACCGUGAGGUGAAGCAAAUCCCAAAAGCCGGCCCCAGUUCAGAUUGUAGUCUGCAACUCGACUACAUGAAGACGGAAUUGCUAGUAAUGGCGUGUCAGCAACAACGCCGUGAAUACGUUCCCGGGCCUUGUACACACCGCACGA
rnacentral:rRNA from 1 species